AACGCAUAUUGCGCUCUCUGGUAUUCCGGAGAGCAUGCUUGUUUGAGUAUCAGUAAACACCUCAACUCCCUUUCUUCUUGAAAUGGAGCUGGACUUGAGUGAUCCCAACGCUUUAUUCAUAAAGUGGCGGGUUACUUGAAAUGCAGGUGCAGCUGGACUUUUCUCUGAGCUAUAAGCAUAUCUAUUUAGUCUGCCUCAAAAACAGAUUAUUACCUUUGCUGCAGCUAACAUAAAGGAGAUUAGUUCUUGUGCUGACUGAUGCAGGAUUCACAAAGACCGCUUCGGCUGUCUUUGUAAACUCGAUCUCAAAUCAAGUAAGACUACCCGCUGAACUUAA
rnacentral:misc_RNA from 2 species